rnacentral:lncRNA from 1 species
AGAAUUUUGUUACGAUUUGGUUAGGAUAUGGUUUAGGAAUUAGGAUUUGAUUUAAGGUUGGUUAGGAUUUGAUUUAGGAUUAGGAUUUGAUUAAAGUUUGAUUUAUGAUUAGGAUUUGGUUUAGGAUUUAGGAUUUAGUUAGGAUUUGAUUCAGGAUUAGAAUUUGGUUAGGAUUUGGUUUAGGAUUUAGGGUUUGGUUUAGGAUUGAUUAGGAUUUGAUUUAAGAUUUAGGAUUUGAUUUGGAUUUAAUUUAAGGUUUAAGAUUUAGUUAGUUUUUGGCCUAAAGUUUGAAUGAAGUCCACUAGGAUUUUAAUUAGGAUUAAAUUAAAAUUGAAUUAAGAUGUAUUUGAGAUAUAUUUGUGAUCAUUCUAAUAUUUCUUUAAGAUUUCUUAUUAUUUCUUUGUAAUUCCUUUGAGGUUUCUUUGAAUUUAAUUAAAGUUUACUUAGCAUUAUUAUAGUCUAAUUAGAAUUUAUUAUUAUUCUAUUAGAGUUAGAAUUAUGUUGUUGCAAUUUCCAUUC